rnacentral:rRNA from 1 species
UACGUAGGUGACCAGCGUUGUCCGGAUUUACUGGGCGUAAAGAGCGCGCAGGCGGUCGUUCAAGUCGAGUGUGAAAGCCCCCGGCUCAACUGGGGAGGGUCACUCGAUACUGAUCGACUUGAAGGCAGGAGAGGGAAGCGGAAUUCCCGGUGUAGUGGUGAAAUGCGUAGAUAUCAGGAGGAACACCGGUGGCGAAGGCGGCCACCUGGACAGUUACUGACGCUGAGACGCGAAAGCGUGGGGAGCAAACAGG